AGGGAACAAGCGCUUGUUUUACUCAGGCCUGCUGAAGCCACAGUGUGCUUUUCUAGGCAAACAUCAGGUCUGCUCUGCAUUAAUUCCGAGAGAUUGCAAAGGGAACAGAGGAUGAAAAGAUUGUUUGUUUCAGUGUCCUUUCACACUCUGACCACUGUCGGCUGGACAUGCUUUGUUUGGUCAUCACUACUAAUAGGGUGGAGACUGGAGAGCCAACAAUGCAUGUACACCUUAGCUGAGAACAUCAAGACAUGGAUGUCUGCACUGGGGCUUCUUUGUGGCAUGACCAGCUGUUGCAGAGUCAGGGAGCAAUAUCCACCCCUGGACAGUGCAUAAAAUGAAGGCUUUGCUCCUCUACCACGUCAUCCCCAACAACAAUCAGCAGAAAAGUGAAACCUGAACUUGAAAUAGCUAUGGAAGCAUGAAUUUUGCCUUAAUAAAAUAAUAGCCUC
rnacentral:lncRNA from 1 species